UUUUUCCCCCAAAGCCCCAGUAGAUAGUUGUAUGUCAUAGCUGCACAUCCUUCUAGUUGCUGUAUGUGGACCGUGGGCUCAGCAUGGCCGGAGAGGCGGUGCGUCGGUGCACGCCCGGGAUCUGAACCCGGGCCGCCAGCAGCGGAGCACGCGCAUUUAACCACUAAGCCACAGGGCCAGCCCUAAGAUGGGUUUUCCCAUAGCACUUCGUACUCUGUGCUCUAAUAGCUUGUUUAUGAGGCUGUUUGCCUAAGCAGGCUUCAAACAUCUAGUUGUUUAUCUUUGCCCUGAGCAGUAUCUGACACAUCACACAGGCUCACUGAAUAUUUAGUCCCGAUCUAUAGGAGAGAGGGGUCCACCCAAUUAGACAAGAGCCAGGACAGGACACAGAGGAAAGCUGGUGUAAAAGCAGGGAGGGGUGCUCAUUGAUGGCCAUCCUCUUUCAAAGGAGAAGCUAUUACUAUCGUAUGCCUGGUUCUGUCUACUCCGCCUUCUGCGCUCUUAGACCCAUCCCAAUUAGACACACACAUAAUUCUAUUAGAUACAACUCAAGAUGACAGAUCCAAAAAUAAUCUCUUAUUCAAGGUCAGUGCAAGGCAUAGAAACGCUAUCUUGGUCAACCCACUGAACCAGUGGGUGGAUAUCAGCGCCCAGGUGAAAAGACUCCCCACCCUCAAGAACAGGGCACUGUGGAGCGUUAGCAGGGUCACAUCGUGACUCGCAUGGGUCUUAGACACUUGUGCUUUGGUGGGCCCAUUCCUCUAUAAAAAUAUAUUAAAAAUCAUAUUUUGUGACUACAUCGGUAUAAAGAUGAAAAUAGUCCAGGCUUGACUCAUUUUUAUGUAUUCAUUAUUAUUAUAUUCAUCUUCUUCUUCUGAUUUUAAAAGAAAUUAAAAUUAGAACAUUUUCAUGGGCCCCUAAAAGUAUUGUGGGCCUAUUUUAGUCGAGUUCUCCAGAGAAAUAGAACCAAUAGGAGAUUAAAUAUAGAUAUAGAUAUAUAAAUAUAUAAAGAGAUUUAUUAUAAGGAAUUGGCUCAUUCGGUAUUAGAGGCUAAGAACUCCCACAAUCUGCAGUUGGCAAGCCGAAGGCCCAGGAGAGCUGAUGGUGUAGAAGUUCCAGCCUGAGUCCAGGAUUGAAGGCAAGAGAAGAUCAAUGUCCCAGCUUGAAUACAGUCGGGCAAAGAGAGCUCAAAUUCUCCCUUACUCCACCUUUUUUGUUCUGUUUAGGCCUCCAACAGAUUGGAUGAGUCCCACACAUACCGACGAGGGCAAUCUGCUCCACUGGUCAAUCUCAUCCAGAAAUACCCUCGCAGACACACCCAGAACCACGUUUAAUCAAAUAUCUGGGUACCUCACGGCCCAGCCAAGCUGACACAUAAAAUUAACCAUGGCAGGACCUUAGGUACUUUGUCUGCUGAGCCUACUGGAGAACUUGGCCUGAGCGUUAGGAAUAAAUUAUAUAUAGUCCUUUCCUUAGAGUUACCACUUUGUAAACGGGACCCACGGGAGAGAUGAUGGCUCUGCACACACAGUGGCUACCUGGGCUCACUGCCAGGGGUCUUGAGUUUGGGGGCUGGUGCCCAUGCAUUUUAAUCCCUAGUUGGAGGAAUGGGAAUGAAGAGGGCCGGGACCUUGGAGGACUAACUUCACCUGUUCUCUGUUUCAAAUCAUCUCUAUCCCUGGCCAAAUAUCUGUGCCCUAUGCUGAGCCCUGGAGAUGAAGUUUGUCGAGCUGGACUUGGAAGAGCAGAGCUUCCUCUAGGCCAGAGGAUCAGGAACUUGGACCCCAGACUGGAGAAAACAUCCUUGUAGACUGGUACUGCUCUGAGGCCUGAAGUUUGGUGACUAUGGAACUUCAUGUACUCCCGGGACUGUCUUCAAGCUCUAAUGUGGAUGGGCAGAAUCGUCCUGACACCACCUUCCUGGGUUAAGGAAGACUCAGAGUAUUCUAGAAGUGCCAUCCUUAUUUACUGAACAAAACAGGAAGAUAUAAUGUACUAAGUUGAAUAAGAAUCCCCUCAAAACUCAUGUCCACAGAGAACCUCAGAAUGCGACUUUUUUUGGAAAUAGGGUCUUUGCAGAUGUAAUUAGUUAGAAUGAGGUCAUGCCUGGAUUAGAGAGGGCCCUAAAUCCAAAGACUGGUGUCUUUAUAAAAGAGAAAACAGAGACAUAGACACACACACACACAAACACAGACAGACACACACACACACACACACACAAACACAGAGAAAGAACAGAACGCCAUGUGACAACAGAGGCAGAGACUGGAGUGAUGCAUCUACAGACCAAGGACCACAAAAGAUUGCCGGCAGCCAACAGAAGCUGGGAGAGAGGCCUGGAACAGAUUCUCCCUCAAAGCCUCCAGAAGGAACCAACCUUGCCAAUACCUUGAUUUCAGACUUCUGGCCUCCAGAACUGUGAGAAAAUAAAUUUCUGUGGAUUUGA